rnacentral:rRNA from 1 species
CCUACGGGUGGCAGCAGUGGGGAAUAUUGGACAAUGGGCGCAAGCCUGAUCCAGCAAUGCCGCGUGUGUGAAGAAGGCCUGCGGGUUGUAAAGCACUUUAAGCAGGAAAGAAGGCCUCAAGGCUAAUAUCCUUGAGGAUUGACGUUACCUGCAGAAUAAGCACCGGCUAACUCCGUGCCAGCAGCCGCGGUAAUACGGAGGGUGCGAGCGUUAAUCGGAAUUACUGGGCGUAAAGCGCGCGUAGGCGGUUUGCUAAGUCCGCUGUGAAAGCCCCGGGCUUAACCUGGGAACUGCAGUGGAUACUGGCAGGCUAGAGUAUGGUAGAGGAUAGUGGAAUUUCCGGUGUAGCAGUGAAAUGCGUAGAGAUCGGAAGGAACACCAGUGGCGAAGGCGGCUAUCUGGACCAAUACUGACGCUGAGGUGCGAAAGCGUGGGGAGCAAACAGGAUUAGAUACCCUAGUAGUC